rnacentral:rRNA from 1 species
UACAGAGGUCCCAAGCGUUGUUCGGAUUCACUGGGCGUAAAGGGUGCGUAGGCGGUUGGGUAAGUCUGACGUGAAAUCUCCGGGCCUAACCCGGAAACUGCGUUGGAUACUAUCCGGCUAGAGGAAUGGAGGGGAGACUGGAAUACUUGGUGUAGCAGUGAAGUGCGUAGAUAUCAAGUGGAACACCAGUGGCGAAGGCGAGUCUCUGGACAUUUCCUGACGCUGAGGCACGAAAGCCAGGGGAGCAAACGGG